rnacentral:rRNA from 1 species
GACGAACGCUGGCGGCGUGCUUAACACAUGCAAGUCGAACGGAAAGGCCCUGCUUUUGUGGGGUGCUCGAGUGGCGAACGGGUGAGUAACACGUGAGUAACCUGCCCUUGACUUUGGGAUAACUUCAGGAAACUGGGGCUAAUACCGGAUAGGAGCUCCUGCUGCAUGGUGGGGGUUGGAAAGUUUCGGCGGUUGGGGAUGGACUCGCGGCUUAUCAGCUUGUUGGUGGGGUAGUGGCUUGCCAAGGCUUUGACGGGUAGCCGGCCUGAGAGGGUUAACGGCCACAUUGGGACUGAGGUACGGCCCAGACUCCUACGGGAGGCAGCAGUGGGGAAUAUUGCACAAUGGGCGGAAGCCUGAUGCAGCAACGCCGCGUGCGGGAUGACGGCCUUCGGGUUGUAAACCGCUUUCGCCUGUGACGAAGCGUGAGUGACGGUAAUGGGUAAAGAAGCACCGGCUAACUACGUG